rnacentral:rRNA from 1 species
UACAGAGGUGGCAAGCGUUGCUCGGUAUCACUGGGCUUAAAGGGCGCGUAGGCGGUGCGGUACGGUUUCGGUGAAAUCCCUCGGCCCAACCGAGGAACAGCCGGAGCUACGGCCGGACUAGACGGCAUCAGGGGACAGUGGAACUCCCGGUGGAGCGGUGAAAUGCGUAGAUAUCGGGAGGAACGCCGGUGGCGAAAGCGACUGUCUGGGGUGCCUGUGACGCUGAGGCGCGAAAGCCAGGAGAUCAAACGGG